rnacentral:rRNA from 1 species
AUUGAACGCUGGCGGCAGGCCUAACACAUGCAAGUCGAGCGGCAGCGGGAAAGUAGCUUGCUACUUUUGCCGGCGAGCGGCGGACGGGUGAGUAAUGCCUGGGAAAUUGCCCAGUCGAGGGGGAUAACAGUUGGAAACGACUGCUAAUACCGCAUACGCCCUACGGGGGAAAGCAGGGGACCUUCGGGCCUUGCGCGAUUGGAUAUGCCCAGGUGGGAUUAGCUAAUUGGUGAGGUAAUGGCUCACCAAGGCGACGAUCCCUAGCUGGUCUGAGAGGAUGAUCAGCCACACUGGAACUGAGACACGGUCCAGACUCCUACGGGAGGCAGCAGUGGGGAAUAUUGCACAAUGGGGGAAACCCUGAUGCAGCCAUGCCGCGUGUGUGAAGAAGGCCUUCGGGUUGUAAAGCACUUUCAGCGAGGAGGAAAGGUCAGUAGCUAAUAUCUGCUGACUGUGACGUUACUCGCAGAAGAAGCACCGGCUAACUCCGUGCCAGCAGCCNCGGUAAUACGGAGGGUGCAAGCGUUAAUCGGAAUUACUGGGGCGUAAAGCGCACGCAGGCGGUUGGAUAANUUA